CAAAAGAACGGCGGCUGAUUCAUGAUAAGGACUCAACUACUGCCUUCUCUAGCUCGGGAGAAAGCAGAAAGAGCCCCUUGGCCGGCCGGCCAGAGCGAAGGGAGUGGUUUCCAGUCUAGACUUGAGACCUCGAUAUCUUACGGUAACUGUCUACUCAGAGGCUAAACAUGACACAAAACUCUGCUUGUGUCGCAAUCCAACAAAACAUAGCAGACCUAGCAACUUCCAUUGCUGUAUGUUGUGAACCAAGAAUGUUUUUCGAUUUACUUGUUGAAAAAAACUUGGUCCCCUACCUUAGUUCGGUAGAAAUAAUAGAUGUACAAGGUAUAUCCAACCAUUGCAAAGUCAGUCGGCUUUUGUCUUUAGUCGCUGUCGAGCCAGAUGCAAAAGAAAAUAUCUUCAAAUUGAUGGACAUUGUAAGAGAUCUAGGCCCAAGUCCGACUUGUAUUGCUGACAAAGUUUUGCAGGAUUAUAGAAGCCUUGCACAAGUGUGUCCAAAUGAGGAAACAGCAAUAUCAGCAUCAAACACAAAGGCCAGUUGCAACAAGCAAAAAGUUCGUGAUAAUUGUGCAACACGUGAAGCCUAUAAGGAGCUCGAAUAUCAAUAUUCGAUAUGUAUUCUCUCCAUUGAGAAGCUGUUCAAGCAGGAAAAGAUUCCUUUGAGUGACUUGAAAACGAUGUGGUCCCAUAUCUGCAACAAGAAAAAACAUCACAAGGCCCUCCGAAGCAAGACUAUACGAGAUUUUGUACGAAUCGUGAGUCAUGAUGGUCGACUACCAUCACUCCAGUAUCGAUCCCUUGAAAAGUUAGUUGUCCAUUUUUCACCAAUAAAUGGUGCAAAAUUAAUCAAAGACUAUAAAAAAAAGAUUAAGAAAUAUUUGAAGUCUCAGGUUAGCUGUGGUGUCCAACAACUAAGGGUAAAAGUUAAUCUGAGCUUUGAUAAGUAUGAUGACAUCCUAGAUUUGAGGACUACAUUAGGGAAGCUGUUCAAAUUUUGUCCUGAAGAGGUUGCUCUGGUAUCAGCUGAAGAGGGAUCAAUAGUCCUAACAUAUCUAGUACUGUCGUCGGUUGGUGUGAGUAUAAACGCAUGGAAGUUCAAAGAAGAAGACAGUGAUGUCCUGCAAAAAGCCAAUAUUGAAUUGAUAUCUGUUGAAGGGCAAACUGUAUGGGAUAGUGCUGCUCAACGAGACCUGAGUGUAGGUGUGAUCCAGCCAAAGCCUGAUAUGCUGACAUUAACGAAGUCGUCUUCAAAAGAUGGUCGUACUCGUUCAUAUUCUGGCAAAAGACUAGUGUUUAGGGGUGAUCAUGAAAUACCUAAAGUCCGCUCUCAAAAGAAGUGUGAAACUAUUCGACAACUGCUUGUAACUACAUGUACCAUUCUUCUCUUAGCAGUUGGAGUUACUUUUACAGCAGUGGCAGUUGGCAGCUCAAACAGUGUUGUUGGGUGGAUUGGAUUCCUUCUUACUUCUGUUGGUGUUUUGCUGAGCUACUGUACAUGUGGAUCAAAGAGAUAUUUUAAGAUUUUGUUUAUAUCAUGUUUUGUAUAUGAUUGUAUAGCAUUGUUAAUGUUAUUUUAGUUUCUCAAAUAGAAAAUGGCGCUAAUAUGAAAAGUAUAUACUUAUACAUAAUUAUAUACUGAUAGCACGUACAAAUGCUGGCACUGCACCGAUCAUAAUUAUUUUGAAUUUCAGUUUCAACUUUACCUGUAUAAUAUGUUUUGUAUAAUUGGGGCGAGCGAAGCGAGUCCCUUAGUUAGUCAUGCACGUGGUCCGGGUGGUGUAUGUAUGUAUGUAUGUAGUCCACCGUGGACCUUUGACUCCAGUUGCGUGGGGUGCCAAGAACAUUUGAUCUUUGACCUCAUUUUCUGUCUGAUCAUUGAUCAGCUUCAGGUACGUAUGCUAUUUAUGCUAGACGUAUGCACUGGCUGGAUCUACCAUAGGCCUCCAUGCUUUUGCACUUGGAAGUACAUCUACAGUAUAAACAUGGCUGCCAUUAUUUUUAUCAAUGACAGAAUAAAAUAAUAAUGUUUAUUCCAGUCCUGUCUUCUCUUCUUGAACUUCUCUUGCUUCUUGGUGUUCCUCUUAGGUAUUUCACUUUCAUUAUUGAGAAAAGAAGGCCGGUGAAGGAGCCUCAAUUCCCUGAGUGUAGUGCGGCCUGGGAUCGAGACUAUUGAGGAGUAUAAUAUACUUGUCCAACGACCACUUAUAUAUUAUCUUCAACAAGAUUACAGGACAAUGACAAAUUAAUCAACGUCACAUUUAUAUGUACUACUGUAAUGAAAAAAGAAAGGGAAUCAAAACUAAAAAACAUUUGCAAUGUGAACGUUGCUAGGAUUGCCCGGCAGGAAAAGAAAAGCGCGAAAAAGCGAAGAAACAAGAAAUUCGGCGAGUGCAUAACUCCAAUCCGUUACAACAUCUGUUCAUGAACAUGUAUAGCCGAGUGGCCUACUGUUGAUAAUGAUUUUAGAAUCAAAAUACAGGUUGGGUGAAAAUGAUAAGAAUUCACAAUCAUCCACCUACACAUCCAACACUUGCAUGUUUGCUCAACACUGUAAGGGAAAACAUCACAAACACAUUAUUAUAGCUUGCUUAUAACAAUGAAAAUUACUGAAGGAUUGGCCAGGAAAAGAAAAAAAAUAUUGCUUCGAACAGUACAUGUGAAUGACGUUGUAACGGAUUGGAGUUAUGCACUCACCGAAUUUCUUGUUUCUUCGCUUUUUCGCGCUUUUCUUUUCCUGGCAAUCCUAGAAACGUUCACAUUGCAAAUGUUUUUUAGUUUUGAUAGGGUAUAGAGUUACAGUACGUGGCAUGGGUCAAGUACCUGUAAUCUUAGGACUAGUUCUCCAAUCGCUUCAAUAUGAUUUGUGGCACGAUAGGCUGCCAAGUUGAUAUGUAUAUAGCUUUCAGCUAAAAUGAAGUUAUAAAUCCAAGGUAUACACACUGGAGGUCCUAGAUCUUUGAGUUUCUCCGUAUUAAAAUGUAUUUCUAUAGUAGGAGUGAAUAUUGUGGUAUGUCAUGAAUUUGUAUAAUUAUAGUUCACUCUGGCUGUGUUAAUUGUGUGUAGUGUAUACAUUAAUUGGUUGUAGUUUAAUGAAAUUAAACGUAUUUAACGGCAAAGGGGGUUACCCAGGGUACUGCUGCGGCCGCGCAUGCGUAUUAGGAUGACCAGCCUAGUGCGACCACCUGUUUAAUAUCACACGAGAGCGGAGUAGCUGCUUCAAUCAUUUUGAAUCCUGUAUCUAAAAGUUGUCUCCCUAUCAUUGGACUAUGAAAGACGGCUCUGAGAAUACUCCUCCACCAGCACCCCCGUUCACCCGGGAUAUGCUGAAAACCCUACUACGGGAAGUGAUUCGGGAGGAAAGCGAGCAUGAAAUGAGGGAAGGAGAAGCCCAGAGAAUCCAGCGGUACAGGUGAAUAAGUUUGUUGGGUCGUUCUUGGUUUGGUAGAGUAGAAUAUCCAAGUGUAUAGCAUCAUGUACAUGGUCUUUGACACGGCUGGCAGUAGCUAUGAGGUGAAGCAAAAAGUGUACGUAGGCCUCGUGGAUGCUCCUCCGAGCUGGGGUAGGGCUGAUCCCUUUGGAUGCUCCUCUGAGCUGGGGUGGGAAAAAAUGUAUAGGGCAUGGUCCCCGUGGAAGCUCCUCCGAGCUGGGGUGUAGGCAUGGUCUCCUUCCUCUGAGUGGGGGCUUGAAAAUAUAGGCUAUGGUCCCCUUGGAGGCUCCUCUGAGCUGGGGUGUAGCUAGGGCAUGGUCCCCGUGGAUGCUCCUCCAAGCGGGGGUGUGAAUAUGUAGGGCAUGGUUUUUGAGGUGGUGGAAAAACGUAGGCCCCCUAUGGUGGGUGGAUGCUCCUCUGAGCCGGGGGAAUGGGGGCUCCUUCGAGUUGGCUCUGGUGGGCUCCUCUGAGCCCGGGUGGGAUAACGUAUGGCAGGGCGGCUUGCAAAACUCCACUGGGAGCGAUCCCACGGGAGGGGAGGUUGAGGGUGCCUGUGUUCGGUGGCGUGGAUGAUAAAGACGAAGACACAUCGGGUCCAAGGUGACCCCAGGAGGGGGAGCUCGAGUGAAGGAGUCCAGUGUCAUCUCGGAGCCCCGGUUUAUACUGAGCGAGGGCCUGCCCCCUGUUCCACCCAAGUUACAGAAAAGAGACUUUGUGGACACGGCAGAGCUUCUCUGGGAGUUAGGUAGGAGACAGAACCUGGAGGCGGGUCGAGGAGGUGGAGCUCACAUCUCGCGCAGGGAGGUUCAUGAGGCCUGCCGGUGCGGAGGGAAAGGUUGGCAGGUGUACGACUCGAUGUUUCGCCAGCAAGCAGCCAACAAUCCCAAAGUGAACUGGUCAGUGUUGAACAGUUUCUUGUACUCCACAUCGUUCCUGGCCAUGCGAGGGAGGGCAUGCCAGCACUGCAUGGAGACUGACCACGCCUCACAGGCUUGUGCCUUGGCCCCUACUCUCGUCAGCAAGACAGGCCAGGGGAAGGGUUCUCCAGGGAGUACGGCGACCAAAGAAGGGAAAGAACAAAGAUACGGGGAGCCUGCUUUGAUUGGAAUGAGGAAAAAUAUGAUCUUCCCUACUGUCGCUUUAAGCACGUGUGUACAAAGUGUGGGGGCUACCAUCGGGAGCAUCAGUGCCGAGGUGCAGCCAUGAAGGACCCCCCAUUCCCAGGACGGCCACGGGAGGUACCUGGAUUGACGGAGCAGUUGUGCUAGGUCGUUACUCGUAAAUGGCGGACCUACGAACCUUGAAGAGUAAGGUUUCCCCUCGGCUUUAUUUCCCACAACUGGCGCAGGUGAGCACCCCCCUCGGAGCGGAAAAGGGGGAGUCCAUGAUCAAGAGUUUGCUCGAUACUUGUUGCAGGGAAUCAAGGAGGGUUUCCACAUUGGCUUCGAUAGGGACUCGGUAAAAUGCUGCAGCGCUCAGCGAAACAUGCAGUCUGCCAUUGUCAACCCGUCCGUAGUCACAGGCUCCCAGCAGAUAGACUGGCAAGACUACAGUUGUUGAUCAACCAGUGGAGCACAAAAACGGUCUGCACAAAACGGGACCUGCUCUCGUUGCUUGGCCACCUACAACACGCUUGUAAAGUGGUCCCAUCUUGUCGUAGCUUCCUACGGCGCAUGAUUAAUACCUUGACCUAUGCAAAAGAACUGUACCAUCAUAUUCGUCUCAAUCGGGAAUUCCGUUCGGACCUUCGGUGGUGGCUUUGUUUCUGGCAGACUGGAAUGGCACUCGGAUAAUGUCCUCUAGAUCCAAGCUAUGCCCGGACGUCAUCCUCACCUCGGAUGCGUCAGGUUCCUGGGGGUGCGGUGCCUUCACGUCGCACCACGAGUGGUUUCAGUAUACAUGGCCCCCCCCUCUUGAGCGGGAAUCCACAUUACGGUAAAGGAAUUAUUGCCGAUUGUGAUGGCUUGUGCUGUGUGGGAGAGUCAAUGGUCCUCCAAGUCAGUUAAGUGCUUCUGUUAAUUUUCUACCCUAUAAUUAUAUAAGCUAACUUGUGGUUGGUUCCCUCCGGGGUGAAGAUGUAUCGAUCGAUGGACCAAGUUUGUUCUGAGGGGGAACAGUAUCGAGAAUCAUUGAUGCAUGGAAAUUACACUCAGUCUGGCCUGCGCUAACAAAUACCAUACCAACCCAGUGGACACGGAUUGGUGUUGGAAGAUGGACUAUGCGGAUACCAUUCUAAAAGAAGCUCUGGACAAUCAUUGCCAAAAUGGUCAAACAGUUCAAAGGUAUACUGGACUCUGGACUCAUGUCAUAUAAUACCUGGAAUUCAGUGACAAGUUCAUCUACUUUAACUUUUUCUUCCUCUAUAGUGAGUACUGUAUUCACUUUAUGAGCCAUUUCAGAUAUACUAUGAUAUAGAAAGAUCUAUAUGUAUGCAGGCUCUAAGUCUUUAUAAAAUAUAUA